rnacentral:rRNA from 1 species
CAGGUGCUGCAUGGCUGUCGUCAGCUCGUGUCGUGAGAUGUCGGUUAAGUCCGCUAACGAGCGCAACCCUCGCUGUGUGUUACAAGUGUCACACAGGACCGCCGGUCUUAAGCCGGAGGAAGGUGGGGAUGACGUCAAGUCAGCAUGGCCUUUAUGUCCAGGGCUACACACACGCUACAAUGGUCAGCACAAUAGGUAGCCAAGCCGCGAGGUGGAGCCAAUCCUCAAAGCUGGCCUCAGUUCAGAUCGCAGGCUGCAACCCGCCUGCGUGAAGCCGGAGUUGCUAGUAACCGCAGGUCAGCUAUACUGCGGUGAAUACGUUCCCGGGGCUU